rnacentral:rRNA from 1 species
UACGGGGGGAGCAAGCGUUGUUCGGAUUUACUGGGCGUAAAGGGCGCGUAGGCGGUCAGCACAAGUCAGUUGUGAAAUCUCCGGGCUUAACUCGGAAAGGUCAACUGAUACUGUGCGACUAGAGUGCGGAAGGGGCAACUGGAAUUCUUGGUGUAGCGGUGAAAUGCGUAGAUAUCAAGAGGAACACCUGCGGCGAAGGCGGGUUGCUGGGCCGACACUGACGCUGAGGAGCGAAAGCCAGGGGAGCAAACGGG